rnacentral:rRNA from 1 species
AGUGAUUCCUACGGGAGGCAGCAGUGGGGAAUAUUGCACAAUGGGGGAAACCCUGAUGCAGCGACGCCGCGUGAGUGAGGAAGUAUUUCGGUAUGUAAAGCUCUAUCAGCAGGGAAGAUAAUGACGGUACCUGACUAAGAAGCCCCGGCUAACUGCGUG